rnacentral:lncRNA from 1 species
ACCCCCUGCUGCUGACGCGGAACAUCUGCCGAGCCGGCGCCGGAGCGGUAGGGCACGCUGAGGGGAUGCUCCACCGUGGCAUGCGAACGCGGACUGUGUCAGGCAUGAGAACGCGGGAGCCCUGCGGCUGAGGAAAGCAGACGUGCGGGGAGCCAAGCCCAGACUCUCAAGAGGGUAGAAAUGGCUACUAGGUAUAAUCAUGCUAAUUAUUUUUCUUUCUACUAAAUCUGCAGUAGGUGAAUUAUUUCAACAGCCAGAGUAUCAGAACCACAGAGCCCAUUCGAGAUUUUUAAAAAUCAGUAUUACCGUGUUCAAAGUUGUUUCUCUAAUUGUGACACCUUUUCGCCUUAUAACCGUAGCCUCACUUUAACACCUGGGAAGUUGGCAUUCUAUGAAAAAGAAAAAUCACAUUUGUUUAGAGGGAAGGUGGGGAGAGGUUGUCUCAAAGAGGGAAAGUCUGGAAAAUAAAGAUAUUUGGCUGUUCGCCCUCCCCUAAGCCACAAGGACUUCAUAACGUAGAAAUUUUAUGGUAGUUGUACAUGCAUUAUGGGGUUUGUAGUUUAAUGGAAUGUUUCUAGAAGAUACCUGAAAAACGGGUGGAACGUAAACUCACCAAAAUUUACCGUCCCCAACCUUCUGUUUUAAUCUUUAUCGGGAGUUGGCCACUUUAAGCAAUUAAUAAUGCCCCUCUGCGGGGCAGAGGAAAGGGAAUUAACACUUGCUGGAUGCCUUGCCCGUGCCGGGCAUUUUAAUGCUUGUAUCACCCUCUGGGGUGGGUACUAUUUUGCAGAUAAGGAAACAGGAUGAGAUUGACGUGUUUAACGUUACAGAAUAUGGAAGUUGGGCGCCACAACUUGGCUGUACCACAUUUAAACUCAAGUCUAUUAGGGGCUUGAUCCACUUUCUUUUCUCUACACCACAUUGUUUCCGUAUAAGCAACUUAUGUGUCGGGAGAGGACCUGCUCGUGCUUUUAUGUGUAAGCAUGAUAUCAAACCAAGAAAAAAUAAAGGAAACAAAAAAAAAAACCCAAGGAUAAAACUGAUAACUUAGACACACAAUUUGUGCCUUUCAUGUGACAGAAGACACUAUAAAGUCGAACAACUGGUAGUGAAACAGAGAAACAAUUGUAGUAAAUCACAAGCAAGUUAAUAUUUAUAUUCGAUUACCAUCCUUAGCGUAUGUUUUAUUUGCAUAAGAAAAUAUAAAGAGCUCUUACAAAUUAUUAAGAAAAAGAUAACACCCACUCUUUUAAAAAGUGAAGGGCGGACCAGUCGCGGUGACUCACGCCUGUAAUCCCAACACUUCAGAAGGCUGAGGCUGGAGGAUCACCUGAGGUCGGGUGACCAACACAGCGGAAACCCCCUCUCUACUAAAAAUACAAAUAUUAGCUGGGCGUGGUGGCGGGCACCCAUAGUCCCAGUUACUAGGGAGGGUGAGGUAUGAGAAUCGCUUGAACCCAGGAGGGAGAAGUUGCAGUGAGCCAAGAUUGCACCACUGCACUCAAGUCUGGGCGACAGAGUGAGACCCUGUCUCAAAAAAAAAAGUUUAGCCCCGGGCGCGGUGGCUCACGCCUGUAAUCCCAGCACUUUGGGAGGCCGAGGCGGGCGGAUCACCUGAGGUCGCGAGUUCUAGACCAGCCUGAACAACUUGGAGAAACCCCGUCUCUACUAAAAAUAACAAAAUUAGGCUGGGCGCGGUGGCUCACGCCUGUAAUCUCAGUACUUUGGGAGGCUGAGGCGGGCGGAUCACGAGGUUAGGAAAUCGAGACCAUCCUGGCUAACACGGUGAAACCCGUCUCUACUAAAAAUACAAAAAAAAAUUAGCCGGGCGUGGUGGCGGGCGUCUGUAGUCCCAUCUACUCGGGAGGUUGAGGCAGGAGAAUGGCGUGAACCCGGGAGGCGGAGCUUGCAGUGAGCCGAGAUCUCUCCACUGCACUCCAGCCUGGGCGACAGAGCGAGACUCCGUCUCAAAAAACAAAAACAAAGCAAAAAAUAUAUGUAUACAAAAUUAGGCCGGGCGUGGUGGCUCUGGCUCACGCCUCUAAUCCCAGCACUUUGGGAGGCUGAGGCUGGUGGCUCACCUGAGGUGAGGGGUUCAAGGCUAGCUUGACCAACAUGGUGAAACCCCAUCGCUAGUAAAAACACAAAAAUUAGCCAGGCGUGGUGGUGCGCGCCUGUAAUCCCAGCACUUUGGGAGACCCAGGCGGGCGGAUCAUUUGAGGUUAGGAGUUUGAGACCAGCCUGGCCAGCAUGGUGAAACCCCGUCUCUACUAAAAAUACAAAAAAUUAGGCCGGAUGCAGUGGCUCAUUCCUGUAAUCCCAGCACUUUGGCAGGCCUAGGCGGGUUGAUCACUUGAGGUCAGGAGUUCAAGACCAGCCUGCACAACAUUGGCGAAACCCCGUCUCUACUAAAAAUACAAAAUUAGCCAGGCUUGGUGGGGAGCGCCUGUAAUCCCAGCUACUUGGGAGGCUGACGGAGGAGAAUCACUUGAACCCGGAAGGUGGAGGUUGCCGUGAGCUGAGAUCACGCCAUUGCACUCCAACCUGGCAUUGCACUCCAGCCUGGGCGACAGAGAAAAACAAAAUACAAAAAAUUAGCUGGGCAUGGAGGUGGGCGCCUGUAAUCCCAGCUACUUGGGAGGCUGAGGCAGGAGAAUUGCUUGAACCUGGGAAGCGAAGGUUGCAGUGAGCCGAGUGCAGCUGCACUCCAGCCUGGGCAGCAGAGCAAGACUCCGUCUCAAAAAAAUAAAAAAUAAAAAGUCAAGGGCAUGAACAAGCUAGCCGGGUGUGUGUGUGUAUACAUACAUAACAUAUGGGGGGAUUUAAUAAUUAUAUGAAAAAUUAUCGCACCUCACUAGAAAUCAGAAAAACUUAAACAGUAAUAUACCACUUUCAAAUAGCAGAUUGACAAAGAUUUUAAAAGACCAAAAACCUGGAUGAGGAUAAGGAAUUGGCCGGGCGCAGUGGCUCACGCCUGUAAUCCCAACACUUUGGGGAGGCCAAGGUGGGUGGAUCGUUUGAGGUCAGGAGUUCGAGACCAUCCUGCCAGCAUGGUGAAAUUCCGUCUCUACUGAAAAUACAAAAUUAGCCGGGCAUGGUGGCGGGUGCUUGUAAUCCCAGCUACUCCGGAGGUUGAAGCAGGAGAAUCGCUUGAACCCGGGAGAUGGAGAUUGCAGUGAGCCGAGAUUGGGCCACUGCACUCCAGCCUGGGCAAUAGGAGGGAAACCCUGCCUCAAAAAAAAAAAAAGAAAAAGGAUAUAAGGAAUAGGCAUUUAUUUGCAUUAACCAUAUCAAGAAUGAAACUCUUGAUAUGUGCAAGGCUUUCUGGAAGACAGUUUGGCUUUCAUAAAAAUGUCAAAGCCUUUAAGACACCCUUUAAGCAGUUGUCUUACUCCUUGGAAUUUAUUUUAAUAAAAUAAUAGGAGGCCAGGCACUGUGGCUCACGCCUGUAAUCCCAGCACUUUGGGAGGCCGAGGCGGGUGGAUCACAAGGUCAGGAGUUGGAGACCAGCCUGACCAAGAUGGUGAAACCCCAUCUCUACUAAAACUGCAAAAAUUAGGCUGGGCGUGGUGGCUCACGCCUGUAAUACCAGCAUUUUGGGAGGCCGAGCCAGGUGGAUCAGUUUAGGUCAGGAGUUCAAGACCAGCCUGGCCAACAUGGUGAAACCCCGUCUCUACUAAAAAUACAAAAAAUUAGCCAGGCGUGGUGGUGGGCGCCUGUCAUCCCAGCUACUUGGGAGGCUGAGGCAGGAGAAUCGCUUGAACCCUGGAGGUGGAGGUUGCGGUGAGCCGAGAUCAAGCCAUUGCACUCCAGCCUGGGCAACAAGAGUGAGACUCCGUCUCAAAAAAAACAACAAUAAAAUAAAAAUAAAUAAAACUACAAAAAUUAACCAGGUGUGGUGGUGGGCACCUGUAAUCCCAGCUACUUGGGAGGCUGAGGCAGGAGAAUCGCUUGAACCCAGGCAGCAGAGGUUGCAGUGAGCCGAGAUCACACCAUUGCACUCCAACCUGGGCAACAGAGCAAGCCUCCAUCUCAAAGAAAAAUAAAUGAUAAUAAUAAUAGGAAAGGUGUCCAACAGUUUAUGAAGCUGUUCAUUGAUAACUUCUUUAAAACCCCACACAAAAAAAUAGGAUGGUCCGAGUGCAGUGAUGUUUUCAACUAAUUGAUGACAACUGGUUAGAGAUUUCUUUGUUCCUUCUCCACUCCCACUGCUUCACUUGACCAGCCUUAAAAAAAAGAAAAUGAAAGAAGAAAACCACAAAAAAAAGAGAAACAACCUAAAUGUCUAUAAUAAAUUGACAAAGUAAAUUAUAUUACAUCCAUAGAGUGGAAUAUGAAGCCAUUAACAAUGGUAUUUAUUAAAAGAUGGUCACAUGAAAAAAUGCUCACAGCAUACUAUUAAGAAAAAUGGGCUGGGCGCGGUGGCUCACGCCUGUAAUCCCAGCACUUUGGGAGGCCAAGGCAGGCAGAUCACAAGGUCAGGAGUUUAAGACCAGCCUAACCAACAUGGUGAAACCCCAUCUCUACUAAAAAUACAAAAAUUAGCCGGGUGUGGUGGUGUGCACCUGUAAUACCAGCUGCUCAGGAGGCUGUGGCAGGAGAAUAGCUUAAACCCGGGAGACAGAGGUUGCAGUGAGCCAAGAUUGAGCCACUGCAUUCCAGCCUGGGCAACAGAGUGAGACUCAGUCUCAAAAAAAAAAAAAAAAAAGAAAGAAAAAAAGAAAAAUGAGAGGUAGAUUACAAAACUGUAUGUAUAAUAUCCUAUUUUUGUCAAAUAAAAAAGUAUAAUCAAAGGAAAAAUUUUGACAGACUAGAAACAAAAUGUUAACAAUGCUUAUUCCUAGGUGGCAGACUAAUAGAAGAUCUUUAUUAUUCAUACCUGCUAAGAGCAUAUAUUACUUUUGUUUGAGAUGGAGUCUUGCUAUCAGCCAGGCUGGAG